GGGUCAGUAGGUUGGUCGUGCCACCGGUACGUACUGGUCUCACUGAUUCCUCCUUCCUGAAGAACCGUAAUGCCAUUAAUUUGGUGUUGCGGGGAAACAGGACUGUUACUUUGAAAAAAUUAGAGUGUUUAAAGCAAGCCAACGCUUGAAUACAUUGGCAUGGAAUAAUGAAAUAGGACGAUCGAUCCUAUUUUGUUGGUUUCUAGGAUUGACGUA
rnacentral:rRNA from 1 species